GACGUAGGGCGCGAGCGUUGUCCGGAUUUAUUGGGCGUAAAGAGCUCGUAGGCGGCUUGUCGCGUCGUUCGUGAAAACCUGCAGCUCAACUGCAGGCUUGCGGUCGAUACGGGCAGGCUAGAGUUCGGUAGGGGAGACUGGAAUUCCUGGUGUAGCGGUGAAAUGCGCAGAUAUCAGGAGGAACACCGGUGGCGAAGGCGGGUCUCUGGGCCGAUACUGACGCUGGAGGA
rnacentral:rRNA from 1 species